GAUGAACGCUGGCGGCGUGCUUAACACAUGCAAGUCGAACGGAAAGGCCCAAGCUUGCUUGGGUACUCGAGUGGCGAACGGGUGAGUAACACGUGGGUGAUCUGCCCUGCACUUCGGGAUAAGCCUGGGAAACUGGGUCUAAUACCGGAUAGGACCACUUCUUGGAUGUUGUGGUGGAAAGUUUUCUCGGUGUGGGAUGAGCUCGCGGCCUAUCAGCUUGUUGGUGGGGUAAUGGCCUACCAAGGCGUCGACGGGUAGCCGGCCUGAGAGGGUGUACGGCCACAUUGGGACUGGGAUACGGGCCAGACUCCUACGGGAGGCAGGAGGGGGGAAUAUUGAACAAUGGGCGCAAGCCUGAUGCAGCGACGCCGCGUGGGGGAUGACGGCCGUCGGGUUGUAAACUCCUUUCGCUAGGGACGAAGCGUUUUUGUGACGGUACCUGGAGAAGAAGCACCGGCUAACUACGUG
rnacentral:rRNA from 1 species